CCACCCAAUUCAUGGCAGCGAGACGUACCUCCUGGUACCAACUGGCACAUCUGGAGCUAGAGGUGGCAGCGAGGCGACCUCCUGGUACCAAGUGGCACGCGUGGUGGUAGAGGUAUAUAGAAUACUAUUUUUCAAUCUUUUGUGACCUCAUUGCUAUGUCUCGUAGUAGAGUAUUAGCUGUUCAAAAGAAAAUGUCAUUUAGUGGAGUAUGAGCUGUUUGUAUGAGCUGUUUGCCUCCUCACUCUCCAUCAUUAAUUACCUUGGAGUAACUGGCGUAUACUAAUGUGGUCAGCAUGAACCAUUCUAGAAAACAUCUCUCGAUUCACAUCUUUGGAGAACCCUCACCAUAGCCCUUCCAAUCUUGUGUCCUCUCGCUGCCAUAUAUAUUUUGGGUCUCCAUCGCUGUGUUCAACUUAGUUCUUUCUUUAAUCUUGGUUCUCUGUGAGUCUCUUGUUUCGCAACGAGAUGGAGACGUAUAUUGAUGGCCAAUGUCCAGUAGAGCAAGUACAACUGAUUGUACCUACAACGGAUGAUCCAACACUCCCUAUGCUAUCAUUCCGAGUAUGGCUCCUAGGGGUCACGGGCUGCAUCCUCAUCUCUUUAGUCAGCGUACUGACUUCUUUCAGGCAGAACCCGAUUAGUAUCCCAGAUUUUGUAGUCCUACUGUUGUGCUACUCUCUAGGGAAGCUAAUGGCAGCUAUGCUUCCAGCAAAAGUUGUGAGAGUUCCUGGAACCAAAAUUGUGUUCUCACUGAACCCUGGUCCCUUCAGUAUAAAGGAACACGUACUGAGUUGGAUAAUAUUCGGUUCCGGGUUAGGAACUUCUGUUGCAACAGAUAUUUUGGCUGCCACAAGGGCCUAUUUCAGAAGAUCUAUUCAUCCAGCUACCUUCUUUUUGCUUCUAUUCACAACAACCAAUCUUUCAUACUUUCAUAUGGAUUUGCUGGCUUGUUCCUGAAAUUCUUUGUGAACCGCUCAGAGAUGUGGUGGCCUGAGGUCCUGCCCCUUGUAAAAUUGCUUAGGACAUUUCAUGUGGAGGAAAGAUCAAAGGAAAAUUUAUCAGGAGUUAAAUUUUUCUUCUUGGUCUUUGUCAUUAGCUUUUCAUACUACAUCGUUCCGAGCUACUUCUUCCCUUCAAUUAGCUCAUUGUCAUUUGUUUGCUGGAUUUGGAAAAGGUCUGUCACUGUUCAGCAACUUGGGUCUGGUCUCAAUGGUUUGGGUGUCGGUUCAUUUGGCCUUGAUUGGUCAUCAGUGACCGGCUUCACCGGCAGUCCUCUGAUGUUCCCUUUCUUUGUAAUUGCCAACACAAUGGCUGGAUUUAUUUUAUUCAUGUACAUUGUCAUCCCUUUUGCUUACUGGACCAAUUCUUUUAAAGCAAAGAGCUUUCCUAUUAUCAGCACAGAAGUGUACGAUGUCUAUGGUGGUAGAUAUGACAUGUCCAGGGUUUUGGAUGAGAGGUUUCAAUUUAAGAAAGAAGGCUAUGAAAAUUAUUCAGAACUGUACUUGAGUAUUACACGUGCAUGUUCUAUUGGAUUUGGAUUUGCUUCUCUGGGUGCAUCUGUUACAGAUAUAGUACUUUCUCAUGGCAGGUCAUUUUGGGACCAACUGAACCAAUCAACUGAAGACAGAGGCAGUUGUGAUGUUCACGUGCAAAUGAUGAAUAAAUAUCGCAGCAUUCCGACGUGGUGGUUUGUUCUGCUUCUAUACCAAUGAUAGGUCUGACAGUGUUUACUUGUGAAGGGUUCGGAAAUGAACUUCAGCUUCCUUACUGGGGAGUUAUUCUAGCAUUCUUGCUGGUACUUCUCUUUGUACCCCCUCUCGCAGCACUUCGUGCCACUGUUGCUCAGCAACCGUUUACUGAAUUGUUUGCACAUAUCAUCAUUGGGUACUUGUGCCCUGGACGACCAUUGGCGAAUGUGGUGUUUGAACUGUACAGCUCGAGAACUAUUGAAGCUGCUCUUGAAGUUCUUUCUACUUUCAAGCUUGGAUUUUACAUGAAAAUUCCUCCAAGAGAGAUGUUCUUUGCUCAGGUCAUUGGCUCGUUCAUAGCAAGCAGCACUGACUUUGCGGUGACAUGGUGGGUAUUUUCGUCUGGAGAAUUUGUGUCGCCCCGACCUGUUGCCUAGAGGCAGCCCGUGGUCAUGCCCCAGUGAGCGUGUAUAUUACAACAAUAUGGUCGUUUGGGGUUUCAUUGGACUGCGGCGGAUGUUGUACCCUGCGGGAGUAUACUCCAAGCUAAUAUAUUUCUUCCUAAUUGGCGUCAUUGCACCAAUUCCCGUAUGGAUCCUCGCCCGAAUGUUCCCAAGGAAGAAGUGGAUCAAGCUCAUCAUUGUUCCUGCCCUUUUCAUGGCAGGUUCUCGUAUACCUCCAGCUUCACCAGUUAACUACAUAUCCUGGUUUGCAGUAGGAUUUGUUUUUAACCAUGUUGUGUUCCGGAGACGCAAAGAAUGGUGGGCAAAAUACUGCUUUAUAUUCUCCGUUGCCAUGGACACUGGCGCUGCUGCAAUGGCAUUCUUGACGACGGUGACUCUGCAGAUGCAAGGCAUCAACGGGGUCAGGUGGUGGGGUUCGGCCGUCUCUGAUCAUUGCCCACUAGCCACAUGUCCGACUGAACCAGGAGUGCAAGUUAAGGGUUACCCUGUUCCUGUUUAGUGUUCUUAAUCUAGCAUAUAUUUUUUUUUGUACUUGAUCAAAUAAAUUCCAUGUAAUUGCCGUCAAUGUAAACAACUCAAUUAUAUUGUGGUUUACAGUAUUAGUAAUUAGCAUUGCAAUGAAUUACAGUAUGAUUGCAUGGUGAAAUCCCCAAAUAAAACAGUU